AGGGCACAGCCCACUGUACCUAUAACUUCUUCAUAGACAAGUCACACCCUGUGCUGGAUUUAGCAUCAGAUACAUCACACACACAUGAUGAUCCUUACUCCUCUCCUGGGGUUGCUGCUGGUCUGGCUUUCAGGUGGCAGAUGCGACAUCCAGAUGACCCAGUCUCCAGCCUCCCUUCCUGUGUCUCUGGGAGACACUGUCACCAUCACAUGCCAGGCCAGUCAAGACAUUAACAGUUAUUUAGCAUGGUAUCAGCAGAAACCAGGGAAUCCUCCCAAGCUCCUGAUCUAUUAUGCACAAAACUUGGCCGAUGGGAUCCCAACGAGGUUCAGUGGCAGUGGAUCUGGCACACAGUAUUCUCUCAAGAUCAGUGGCCUGCAGUCUGAAGAUGUUGCAAGUUAUUACUGUCAACAGCAUAGCAGUUUCCCACCCACAGUGAUUCAGGUCAUGACAAAAAUCACCCAGGAAAACAGAAGUGAGAGCCCAGGCUGA